UACGGGGGGGGGCAAGCGUUGUUCGGAAUUACUGGGCGUAAAGGGCUCGUAGGCGGCCAACUAAGUCGGACGUGAAAUCCCCUCGGCUUAACCGGGGAACUGCGUCCGAUACUGGAUGGCUUGAGUUCGGGAGAGGGAUGCGGAAUUCCAGGUGUAGCGGUGAAAUGCGUAGAUAUCUGGAGGAACACCGGUGGCGAAGGCGGCAUCCUGGACCGACACUGACGCUGAGGAGCGAAAGCCAGGGGGAGCAAACGGG
rnacentral:rRNA from 1 species